rnacentral:rRNA from 1 species
GACGAACGCUGGCGGCGUGCUUAACACAUGCAAGUCGAACGAAGUGGCGAACGGGUGAGUAACGCGUAAUCAACCUGCCCUUCAGCGGGGGACAACAGUUGGAAACGACUGCUAAUACCGCAUACUGAAGGAGGGGAUUGCGUCUGAUUAGCUAGUUGGAGGGGUAACGGCCCACCAAGGCGAUGCUCAGUAGCCGGUCUGGGAGGAUGGACGGCACCAUUGGGACUGGGAAACGGCCCAAGCUCCUACGGGAGGCAGCAGUGGGGAAUCUUCCGCAAUGGACGAAAGUCUUACGGAGCAACGGCGCGGUAGUGAUGACGGCCUUCGGGUUGUAAAGCUCUGUUAAUCGGGACGCGGUACCGGAAUAGAAAGCCACGGCUAACUACGUGCCAGCAGCCGCGGUAAUUC